rnacentral:rRNA from 1 species
CAGUCGCCGCGGUAACACGUAGGUGGCAAGCGUUGUCCGGAAUUAUUGGGCGUAAAGGGCUCGCAGGCGGUUUCUUAAGUCUGAUGUGAAAGCCCCCGGCUCAACCGGGGAGGGUCAUUGGAAACUGGGAAACUUGAGUGCAGAAGAGGAGAAUGGAAUUCCACGUGUAGCGGCGAAAUGCGUAGAGAUGUGGAGGAACACCAGUGGCGAAGGCGACUCUCUGGUCUGUAACUGACGCUGAGGAGCGAAAGCGUGGGGAGCGAACAGGAUUAGAUACCCCCGUAGUCCCUGUCUCUUAUAU